rnacentral:lncRNA from 1 species
CUCGGGUGGAUUUUCUGUGGGUUUGUUAAGUGGUCAGAAAUUCUCAAUUUUUUGAAUAGUUUCCAUUUCAAAUAUCUUGUUCUACUUGGUUCAUAAAAUAGUGGCUUUCAAACUGUAGAGCUCUGGACUUCUCACUUCUAGGGCAGAGGGAGCCUGAACAAGUGAGGCUCUGGGUUCCUCAUUCCUAAUUAAACCAAUGGAAAGAAGGGGUCUAAUAACAAACUACAGCAACACAUUUUUCAUUUCAGCUUCACUGCUGUAUCUCCCAGUGUAACCCUAGCAUCCAGAAGUGGCACAAAACCCCUCUGCUGGCUCAUGUGUGCAACUGAGACUGUCAGAGCAUGGCUAGCUCAGGGGUCCAGCUCUGCAGGGUGAGGGCUAGAGAGGAAGCAGGGAGUAUCUGCACACAGGAUGCCCGCGCUCAGGUGGUUGCCGAAGUCAGUGCCCGGGCCCCACACAGUCUCCAAAGGUCCGGCCUCCCCAGCGCGGGGCUCCUCGUUUGAGGGGAGGUGACUUCCCUCCCAGCAGGCUCUUGGACACAGUAAGCUUCCCCAGCCCUGCCUGAGCAGCCUUUCCUCCUUGCCCUGUUCCCCACCUCCCGGCUCCAGUCCAGGGAGCUCCCAGAGAAGUGGUCGACCCCUCCGGUGGCUGGGCCACUCUGCUAGAGUCCAUCCGCCAAGCUGGGGGCAUCGGCAAGGCCAAGCUGCGCAGCAUGAAGGAGCGAAAGCUGGAGAAGCAGCAGCAGAAGGAGCAGGAGCAAGUGAGAGCCACGAGCCAAGGUGGGCACUUGAUGUCGGAUCUCUUCAACAAGCUGGUCAUGAGGCGCAAGGGUAGGAGGCAGGGCCGCUGCCCACCCUGGGCCGGCACAUUGUAAUUCUGUCCUGCCUUUUUCUUCCUGUAUUUAAGUCUCCGGGGGCUGGGGGAACCAGGGUUUCCCACCAACCACCCUCACUCAGCCUUUUCCCUCCAGGCAUCUCUGGGAAAGGACCUGGGGCUGGUGACGGGCCCGGAGGAGCCUUUGCCCGCGUGUCAGACUCCAUCCCUCCUCUGCCGCCACCGCAGCAGCCACAGGCAGAGGACGAGGACGACUGGGAAUCGUAGGGGGCUCCAUGACACCUUCCCCCCCAGACCCAGACUUGGCCGUUGCUCUGACAUGGACACAGCCAGGACAAGCUGCUCAGACCUGCUUCCCUGGGAGGGGGUGACGGAACCAGCACUGUGUGGAGACCAGCUUCAAGGAGCGGAAGGCUGGCUUGAGGCCACACAGCUGGGGCGGGGACUUCUGUCUGCCUGUGCUCCAUGGGGGGACGGCUCCACCCAGCCUGCGCCACUGUGUUCUUCUCUUAAGAGGCUUCCAGAGAAAAC